UACAGAGGUGCCGAGCGUUAGGCGGAAUCACUGGGCUUAAAGCGUGUGUAGGCGGAUGCCUAAGUACCUUGUGAAAUCCCACGGCUUAACCGUGGAACUGCUCGGUAUACUGGGUGUCUUGAGCCACUUAGGGGCUACCGGAACAAAUGGUGGAGCGGUGAAAUGCGUAGAUAUCAUUUGGAACGCCAAUGGUGAAAACAGGUAGCUGGGAGUGUGCUGACGCUGGAGACACGAAAGCCAGGGGAGCGAACGGG
rnacentral:rRNA from 1 species